AAGGGCUGGUCAAUGGGGAAGGGCAAGUUUCACCACCGCUGCUCUCAAAUCCAUUUCUUUUCUGACAGCGGGUGUUACUGAGGCUUAGAAACGGCAUUCCAUUUUCCGUUUACUUACUCUGUGAUUAAGCAGGGAGCGACCGGUCGUGAGAGGAUGUCGUUUCCUAACUCUUUUCGGGGUGAAAUGCUGGUUUGGUUUUUCUUUGAUUUCUGCACCAGCCGCCCACUGUAAUUUUCUCAUCCCUCCCCCCCGACUAUUGAUUUUUGAAAGUGUUUCCCCUCAGCCCACAUCAGUCUUCUCUGCAAGAAGCGUUUGAGGUCUUCCCGGGGGGGUGGAAAUAACACUGUUUUGCAGGGCGGGUAACGCGGUGAGAAGAGAGGACGCACGGCAUUGCAGCUCGAGCGUUGUGCUUCCGCAGAGGUCAAGGAAAUCCAAGAAGUUUCCCGCUUGACCCGCCCGGGAAAGGAGAGGACUUGGAACGAGAUCGGAUGGGGCAGGGAGGUCGAGAGGGAACACAACUCAAGUCCCCAGCUCUUGAAGGAUCUUUCACCUGGCUCUUGCACUGUCGAGGUCCCGCGGCCCUUGGGUUCUCAGGAGUGAAGGUGUAGAUGUUCAGGGUGUCGGCUCACUUCAGAGAUCGGAUGUGGAAUGUACUUGAG